UGAGCUGAACUUGCUGUUCUCCUCACCUGAUGGUUGAGGGAAGCCCAUGAGGUGCAGGCUGCUGGCACACCUUUAAUUAGAUACUUGGUUGCUGGAAGCCUUCCAUGUGAUCAAACAGUACUUUCAGACAAACUAAUUUUCUAUUAAAUGAAGUUUAAUUUUGAGGUAAGGUCCUGUUUAAUUUUCUUUGUUAUGCACAUAAUGACAUAAAGCCUACGGUAAUUUAAAAGCUC
rnacentral:lncRNA from 1 species